rnacentral:misc_RNA from 1 species
UAAUAAUAAUAAUAAUAAUAAUUGGAUGCCCAUAUAUAUACACACACAUAUAUCUAGGUAUCCUAUAGGCUACAGUUCUUGAUCAUCACUUGCAACUAUUGAAAGUCUGAACUUCUGGACAUGUCGAAUGAAAUUUAUCUAACAAUUUAUCUAACAUCCAUGACAAUCAACUGCCAGAAAAUGCGUAGUCACUACAGAUGAGAAUAGAACUCAAUGUUGCACUAGGAUGCCCUCUGUUGCACUGGCAACAGCCAAAAAAAAGGGUUCAACUAGUAGUCCCAUCAGCAAACCAUUGGAACACAUAUGUACACCAAAAAUGAGGGGAAAAGGAGAAGAAGACAAGAAAAAUGAUGGAAGAAAGGUACAAAAGGCUGAAAAGAUGUACCAUCAUAAGCACAUAUGAUUCACACUCUCAGCUUAAAUCAGUUAUUCAAAAUGGGUACAUUGGUAACGCAAAUGCAUUGUCAUUUUAUCGCACACAAAGUCGAGACCUUGUUUCAAUCCCUUUAUUAGUUUGGUCAAGAAAGCUAGAAAACAACAGUUAUGCCAUUAUCUGUGAACAAUGGAUUUGUGCAGCAGAACAAUAUUGAAUAUAAACACACUCGGUCAAGAUAAUUUACCACCCAUUAAUAUCAACUGAAUGUAAACAAUCUCAGCUAACAAAGAUGAAUGGAAAUCAAUAUUGGGAGCUUUUAUAACCUCUUGUGCAAAUUUAAACGCAAAGAACCUAUAUAAGUCCCUUCAAGUUGUAAAAAUGGCAAAUGAUCUAAAACAAGUUUCCAAAAUUCUGAACCCAAAAGCUUGCUAAAUGAAUAAAUGAUGAUCUACUUACCAAUAUCUUCAUUUCACAAAUUUCACGACGAACAGAAAAGUAAAAAAUGCAGUAUCAUCCAAAUAAAAUAUUGAAACAAAAACAAAGGAAAAAGGGCAUACUUGUGGCCGAUCAUCUGGUCUUGAUUGUAUUUGCGAGCCAGAGCCACUGGAGAAGGCUCUCUAAUUCAUUCCCUAAGCGCUACGUCUCGACAAAAGAUGAAGGAUCAUUCUGCUGCACAACUUUCUGGAUAUUGUAAUCAGCCGAAGUUCAGCCAUCAUCAAGCUGCUUCCCAGCGAAGAUCAAUCGCUGCUGCUCCGGUAGGAUUCCUAUUCCAUCGUCGUCCAUUGGCUUAUAAAAAGUGAAUCGAUUUGAUCAAAAUGGCAAUAGAAAAGAACCAAAACGUCCAGCUUCCCAACAGGGUACCCUAAGCACCAGCAGAUGCCCGCCCUGUCACAGACCCUACUAACGAGCCCAUCCAAAUAAAUAAAUUCUUCAAUUUUCCGGGCUAGUUAUAGAAUAAUUUAAUUAGCACUUACAAGGGCCAAGAUCUCCUUGCUUAGGGCUGGGUCAAUAAGUUUAAUAAUUGAUCAAAAUGCAUCAAUUUUAAU